UUGAAUUAAAAAUUUAAGUUAGACUUGGACCAGAAUCCUAAUUAGAUUAGGAUUGACAGGCUCUUUAAAUUUGAUUCAAAUCAUGUUCGAAUCAGAUUCGAAUCAUGUUAAAUUUAAGCUUGAUUGGAUGUGAUCCAAAGAGUCCAAAAUACCUAAAACUCUCUCUCUAAUAGUGGCCAACCAAAGGAGGAAAGUGGGGGAUUUAUUUCCACCCC
rnacentral:lncRNA from 1 species